GAUAAACGCUGGCGGCGUGCUUAACACAUGCAAGUCGAACGAAGUUUUUCCUUCGGGAGUAACUUAGUGGCGGACGGGUGAGUAACGCGUGGGUAACCUGCCCUGUACAGGGGGACAACAGCUGGAAACGGCUGCUAAUACCGCAUAAGCCCUUAGCACUGCAUGGUGCAUAGGGAAAAGGAGCAAUCCGGUACAGGAUGGACCCGCGUCUGAUUAGCCAGUUGGCAGGGUAACGGCCUACCAAAGCGACGAUCAGUAGCCGAUCUGAGAGGAUGUACGGCCACAUUGGGACUGAGACACGGCCCAGACUCCUACGGGAGGCAGCAGUGGGGAAUAUUGCACAAUGGAGGAAACUCUGAUGCAGCGACGCCGCGUGAGUGAAGAAGUAUUUCGGUAUGUAAAGCUCUAUCAGCAGGGAAGAAAAUGACGGUACCUGACUAAGAAGCACCGGCUAAAUACGUG
rnacentral:rRNA from 1 species